rnacentral:rRNA from 1 species
CAGCACCUCAAGUGGUCAGGAUGAUUAUUGGGCCUAAAGCAUCCGUAGCCGGCUCUGUAAGUUUUCGGUUAAAUCUGUAUGCUCAACAUACAGGCUGCCGGGAAUACUGCAGAGCUAGGGAGUGGGAGAGGUAGACGGUACUCGGUAGGAAGGGGUAAAAUCCUUUGAUCUAUUGAUGACCACCUGUGGCGAAGGCGGUCUACCAGAACACGUCCGACGGUGAGGGAUGAAAGCUGGGGGAGCAAACCGGAUUAGAUACCCGCGUAGUC